UACGAGGGUGGCAAGCGUUGUUCGGAUUUAUUGGGCGUAAAGGGUUCGUAGGCGGCUCGGAAAGUCGGAUGUGAAAUCCCACAUGUCAACUGUGGAACUGCAUUCGAAACUCUCGAGCUAGAGUAUGAGAGGGGUGAAGGGAAUUCCCGGUGUAAGGGUGAAAUCUGCAGAGAUCGGGAGGAACACCAGUCGCGAAGGCGCUUCACUGGCUCAUUACUGACGCUGAGGGACGAAAGCUAGGGUAGCAAACGGG
rnacentral:misc_RNA from 1 species